rnacentral:rRNA from 1 species
AUACGUAGGGGGCAAGCGUUAUCCGGAUUUACUGGGUGUAAAGGGUGCGUAGGUGGCAAGGCAAGUCAGAUGUGAAAGCCCGGGGCUCAACCCCGGUACUGCAUUUGAAACUGUCUAGCUAGAGUGCAGGAGAGGUAAGCGGAAUUCCUAGUGUAGCGGUGAAAUGCGUAGAUAUUAGGAGGAACACCAGUGGCGAAGGCGGCUUACUGGACUGUAACUGACACUGAGGCACGAAAGCGUGGGGAGC